rnacentral:rRNA from 1 species
UAAGGAAUAUUGGUCAAUGGAGGCAACUCUGAACCAGCCAUGCCGCGUGCAGGAAGAAGGCCCUAUGGGUCGUAAAUUGCUUUUUGAACAAGAGAAAACCCCGGUACGUGUACUGGGUUGAUAGUAUUGUUAGAAUAAGCAUCGGCUAACUUCGUGCCAGCAGCCGCGGUAAUACGUAGGGACCAAGCGUUGUUCGGAUUUACUGGGCGUAAAGGGCGCGUAGGCGGCAAUUCAAGUCAUCUGUGAAAUCUCCGGGCUUAACUCGGAACGGUCAGAUGAUACUGCUUUGCUAGAGUGCAGAAGGGGCAAUCGGAAUUCUUGGUGUAGCGGUGAAAUGCGUAGAUAUCAAGAGGAACACCUGAGGUGAAGACGGGUUGCUGGGCUGACACUGACGCUGAGGCGCGAAAGCCAGGGGAGCAAACGGGAUUAGAUACCCCUGUAGUCCCUGAGCGGGCUGGCAAGGCGCAU